CUGGAUUCAAGUCCUGGUCCUCUACUCACCAGGGCAGGCUAAACACUGUCUGGGCGAGGCCAUACAUAUUCCCAGGCCUACUCUUACACGGGGUCUGGUUUCAUGAAUGCUGGUAAUAAAC